GCUGAAAUAGCUCAGUUGGUAGAGCAGCUCAUUCGUAAUGAGCAGGUCAGGGGUUCGAGUCCCCUUUUCAGCUCCA
rnacentral:tRNA from 1 species